rnacentral:rRNA from 1 species
GACGAACGCUGGCGGCGUGCUUAACACAUGCAAGUCGAACGAAGUGGCGAACGGGUGAGUAACGCGUAAUCAACCUGCCCUUCAGAGGGGGACAACAGUUGGAAACGACUGCUAAUACCGCAUCCGGAAGGGGGGGAUUGCGUCUGAUUAGCUAGUUGGAGGGGUAAGGGCCAACCAAGGCGCGGAUCAGUAGCCGUGCUGAGAGGAUGAACGGCCACAUUGGGACUGAGACACGUCCCAGACUCCUACGGGAGGCAGCAGGGGGGAAUCGUCCGCAAUGGACGAAAGGCUGACGGAGCAACGCCGCGUGAGUGAUGACGGCCUUCGGGUUGUAAAGCUCUGUUAAUCGGGACGCGGUACCGGAAUAGAAAGCCACGGCUAACUACGUGCCAGCAGCCGCGGUAAA